rnacentral:rRNA from 1 species
AUGAAGGCAGCAUUAAAAACUAUCCUCCCACAUACUCUGCAUAAGUUGUGUCGGUGGCAUAUCAUGAAGAAGUACAAAGACCACCUCGCCUUGCUGUAUAAGGCGCACGAGAAACUCAAGGAUGAUCUCAAUGCGGUGCUCAACCACCCACUAAUGCCGUCAGAAUUUGAACGAGCAUGGAAGGACCUCAUUCAGAGAUACAACUUGCAAGAUGACGAAGUGAUGAAUUCGUUGUGGGAAGACAGGCAUGAGUGGAUCUCGGCUUACUACAAGGAAGUUUUGUGUGCUCGGAUGACUUCCACGCAGAGAAGCGAGAGCAUGAACCGCAUACUGAAGCAAAACUUUGUCAAAGAGAAGCAUGAUCUCCAUAUGUUUUCUCAGCGGGUGGACAAGUGCAUUCAGACCAGGAAGGCCGUCAAGCACGCAGAGACAGGAGCAAAUGAGUCAGAAGUAAAGACAACAACCCAGUUUGGGUUCGAAGUUCAGCUAUCAAAAGUGUAUACAAGGGCAAUGUUUGCAGAUUUCAAAGAAACACUCUACCGUAGCACUGCAUUCAGAGCAGAACGGUGCCCUGAGAACCCGACAAAGUAUCUCAUACACCACUACAAUAGAUCGGAUGCAUUUGACUGGGCAAGGCAUAAUUUCCAAGUAGUCACCGAUGAACAGAAAGGUGUCUACAAAUGUGAAUGCAAACUCUGGACACACACAGGGCUCUUUUGCGUCCAUGUGUUAUGCAUGCUUUCUCAUUUGGGAGUACUCAAGAUUCCUGAGGUGUACAUCAUGAAAAGAUACACCCGUAACGCAAGAUCGAAUGCGACGUCUGACAGAAGAGACUAUGAACAAAUAGCACCAGAUGGAACAUUGCUUUUUUGCCGUAGAAAAUUGCUGACAAAAACAACAAUGGACCUUGCAAACAGAGCGACAAGGUCUGACGUUGGGUGCCCCAGAGCGUUAUCUGGUAUGAGGGCACUGAUCGAGGAAGUAGAUGUGCUCAACGAAGAAGAAGAAGAAGAAGCAAAACUAAAGCAAGCAGAGAAAUCCCAGCAUGACAAUAAUGCCGAGCAAGUAGAAAAUACCGAACACAGCGGAACUGGUGCUAUCAAAAAAGAAACAAUUCUUCCACCUCCUGUUUCAAACACAAGAGGAAGGAAGAAAGGGGGCGACACAACCCAGAAAAAGGUUGCAUGCAAGGAGAAAAAUGAUGACAAAAACAGUAAGCCACAACCUGAGCUGGACAGUGAUGCUCACCCAUGGGAAUAA